UCCGCUCCCGCGCCUCCGUGUCCAACCCUCUUCCCCUCCUCGCGUUCCCAUAACCACUCCCAUCCCCUCCUCUCACCGCCGCAUAGCCAUCGCCGUUGAUCUCAGCAACGAAAGUGCUUAUGCUGUUAAGUGGGCCGUUAAAAACUACCUUCGCCCGGAUGACUCCGUCAUCCUCCUCCACGUGCGUCCUACCUCCGUCCUCUGUGGUGCUGACUGGGGCUCGAUCAAGCUCCACAUCAACGAUAAUAGCGAUGGGGCACCUCUAGACGAAAGUGAUCAGCAGAAGCUGGAAGAUGAUUUUAAUAAUUUCACUACCACGAAAGCCAAUUCCCUAGCGCAGC
rnacentral:lncRNA from 1 species